UUUUAUUUGAGAGUUUGAUCCUGGCUCAGGAUGAACGCUGGCGGCGUGCCUAACACAUGCAAGUUGAGCGAUUUACUUCGUAAAGAGCGGCGGACGGGUGAGUAACGCGUGGGUAACCUACCCUGUACACACGGAUAACAUACCGAAAGGUAUGCUAAUACGGGAUAAUAUAUUUGAGAGGCAUCUCUUGAAUAUCAAAGGUGAGCCAGUACAGGAUGGACCCGCGUCUGAUUAGCUAGUUGGUAAGGUAACGGCUUACCAAGGCGACGAUCAGUAGCCGACCUGAGAGGGUGAUCGGCCACAUUGGAACUGAGACACGGUCCAAACUCCUACGGGAGGCAGCAGUGGGGAAUAUUGCACAAUGUGCGUAAGCCUGAUGCAGCAACGCCGCGUGAGUGAUGAAGGCCUUCGGGUCGUAAAACUCUGUCCUCAAGGAAGAUAAUGACGGUACUUGAGGAGGAAGCCCCGGCUAACUACGUGCCAGCAGCCGCGGUAAUACGUAGGGGGCUAGCGUUAUCCG
rnacentral:rRNA from 1 species